ACUUUAGUGAUUAUAUUUGCGUAUAAUGCCUUCUCAAUGUUUACAUUUAUAUUUUUAGGAAAAAUUUCAAUAUCAAAUUAUUGGAUGUUCUAAAUAUCACUCGACUCUAUAUUUUUAUUGCUCUAAAUCUAUAUUGCCAAAUCUCCCUCCUACUUGGCCAUAUCACUUUUUUUUUUCCAAAUCACUUUAAUGUACAACUUUUAAUGUACUAUGAAGUCUGUAAUUUCUUGAAAUUCUCACCUUGCUCUUGUGAAGAGUUGAGUCUAUGCUUUCUGUCUUAAUUAUCUUAGGGAUAUCUCAUUCUUCAUCUGUCUACUGGGAGGGAUCUAGAUAUGCAAAAUGACUUGUCCAACUCUGUUGCCUCCAGCGGCCGCCCCCAUGGGGCAGCCUCUGAAGAGGUGGCCUCCUCCAUCAGUGAAAGGUGCCAGAUGAGUCAGAGCCAACAUGCUUCCAGCGUGUGAAUAGCUAUUUCCAGUCACCUGCCCUCACCAAGUUGUUUUUCUCAAAAGGUCUGGAGUAAUCAAGAAGCAAACUAUGAAAGUAUCAGGUUAAUCCCCUACCACUGAGAAUUGUUACUUAUAUUUUUAGUGCUCAAUAAGCAGCAAAUACUGUUUUAUUAUCUAAAGUUAUGGAAAAAUUUCUCUUCUUUGUUUUCUACUUUUAUGAAUGUCUGGUUUUCUGUGAGGUUUUUGUUUUUUUAGCUUUUUAUUUUGGUAAAAUUUUAGAUGUACAGGGAAGUUGUGAGAAUAGUACAAAGAAUUCCUAUAUAUACCAUGUACCCCAAAUCCCCAUAUGAUAACAUUUUCCAUAUUUUAUCCUUUCCUUUCAUUCCCUAGCUCUAACUCUUGUUUUCACUUGCUACUCUGAGUGUGUGUGUAAUAUGUAUUAUAUACACAUACUUUUUUUUAGAUUCAGUAGCAGUCAUGCCAUUUUCCUAAGUACUUAGUCAUGCCUAAGUACUUUAGUAUGCAUUUUGUCAAAUCAAAGACAUUUAUCAAGUAUAGUUGUCAAAGUAAAAGUGGUCUGUCAAUCUUACCACAUCUUGUCAGUGGUGCCAGUAAUGCCAUUUAUACUAAAACAGAAUCCUGAAUUGUGCAUUGGAUUUAGUUGUCAUGUCUCUUUAGUUGUUAGUUUCCUUUAAUCUGGAAUAGUUCUUUUAUCUUCCUUAUUUUUCAUGGCCUUGAUAUUUAAGAAUUCAGGCCAAUUAUUUUGUUGGAUAUUUCUCUGGGUUUGUGUAAUAUAUUCUUCAUAAUUAAAUUUACCUCAGAUGCUUAUGGGAGCAAAUGCUGUCAAUUUGUCCUAUUUCUGAUCAUUUUAUUGUUGAUCACUCGGUUAAGGUAGUAGUGCCUAUCAAGUUACUUUAAAAUUAUUCUUCCUUAUGUAAGUUGUAGGUAUCUUGUGGGGAAUUUUUUUUAAGGCUCUGUAAUUGUUAUUCUUCAAACUUCUAUCCUUUAAUUAGCCUCCACUGAUAGUUCUUGCCUGUGUCAUUUGUUACUGUUAUGGUGCCCAAAUAAUUUUCUAAUUUCAUUUUUAUUUACGUUUAUUGUCUUUCUGCCAUAAGUAAGAGCUCUAAUUUCUUCACUACUUAUUAAUUUCAUUAUGGGCUUCUGGAUAUUUAUUCAGUGGAAUAUAUUACUUUAUAUUCAUUAUUUAUAUUCAUGCGCAAAUUGUCCCAGAUUGGGCUAAUAAGAGCCCCUUUAAGUCAAUUCCUGUGUCCUUUUGAUAUGACCUUAUCAUUCAUUGAUUGUUUUCUUUGCUUUUUAUCAUAGUAAGAUAUUCCUGGUUGAUCCCAACCUUGAAAUCAGACAUUUCUUUGAGGGUUCCUGUUCCUUUUAGAGAAUGGCAUUUGGAAAUCAUGAUGUGAGCUAGGUGUGCUUUUUGCCAUUGGGUUUUCAUUGCUUCUAGGCCCUCUCAUCUGACAGGAAGGGGGGAAAAGCACACACAAAUAUACACAUGUGUAAGAGAAUAUACAUAUACACGUAUAUCCACAUCAUGUCUCUUCUGUCUAGAUUAAAAGCCAUCAUCACUUCACACUGAUGCCUGUACUUCUGAUCCAUAAUCAUGAGGUUCACUCUGUUCUCUUUUAUAUUAGUAAGCUUCUGCCACAUUGAUAAGAAUUCUGGCUACCAUUAUCUACAGUAUGUUUAAUUGCUUAAUCCUAGAAUUGCACAGUAAUUUUAGAAUUGCUAAUUUAUAUGUCUGCACUGCAAAAAGAGCCAUUAAUGAGAGUUAAACAUGGGCUUAGUGGGGUUUUUUUUGUCCUUUAUUCUGAAGAUACGGUUCUGUUCUGUGUUAAAAAAUUAGUUAGAUUCCUUUUUCCUUGUCAGUGUUUGGUUGUGGUCUUCAUUUAUUAGAUGGUUCAGUUCAGUUUUUUGUUUUGAAUCUUAUUUUAGAUUUUUUUCUCCCUUUAUUCUGAUUUUUUUUGUCUUGUUGUAUUGUUUUGGGAUGUGUGAAAUGUUACUGUAGUUUUAAAUGUCAGAACUGUCCAAAACAUUUUAUAUAUAUACCCUUUUCUUUACAUCUUCUAUCUUUUCCAACUCAUUCCCACUUACAGUCUCAAGGUAACUGCUGUGGUUUGAAAGUAUGUUCUCCAAAGGGCCAUACAUAAAGGCUUGGUCCUCAAGGUAACUGUAUUGGGAAGUACUGUGGGCCCUUAACAGGUGAAGUAUAGUAGAAGGUCCUUAAGUCAUUGGCUUACCCUUGAAAGAGAUUGUGGGAUGCUGGUCUCUUCUUUCUCUCUGUUACCUGGCUUGAGGCGUGAGUACCCAUUUUGAAACGUGAUCCCACUAUGAUAUGCCCCCCUCGACAGAAACCCAAACCAUUGGGACUUCCCAAUCUUGGACUUGUAUCAGAGACAGGGUCUCACUGAGUUGCUUAGUGCCUCACUUUUGCUGAGGCUGGCUUUGAACUGCUAUUUUCCUGCCUCUGCCUAUCGAGCCACUGGGAUUACAGGCAUGUGCCACCACGCCCAGCCUCAAAAUUAAUUCCUUUUUAUAUCACAAGUAGCUUUUAUCAUGGAUUUCAUUACUGUGACUCAUAGCUGACAACCUAACAAGUGUCUACUGUAUUUCUAUUUGCACAAAUGAGUAGAUAUUUUCUUAUUUCCCUUACAUGAAAGGCAGCAUGUUAUAUAAACUUUCAUUUUGUUUAUUUUCUACUUAGGUGUGAACUUUUAACAUAAAGAUAUUAACUCCUUAUUUGUCAUUCUUUCUUUUUUUCCAUUACUUUUUAAAAUUUGAAAUCAUGCAGACUGUUUCCUUCAUAAUUUAUUACAUUAGAAAUCAAUCACCUUAAGAUUUAUAAAACCUCAUCCCCACACAUCAACAAUUUCAAAAUUAAAUGGCACACUUAUAAAUAUCUCAGAGGUCAAGGAAGAAGGCACAAUAAAAAUAAAUAAAAAGUGCUUUGUACUAAGUUAUAAUAAAAGCUUAAAAUAUUGGGAUCUUUGGAAUGAAAGAGUACUUAGGUGAACAUUUAUAACUUAAAGUACUUUUACAGAAAGAAGCUAGAAUUAAUAAAUUAUUUUCAAAUUAUGUGAUACGAAUUAAAAAUAAGUGGGAGCAGAAACAAGAAAUAGGGAAGAUAAUAUAGCUAAUACAGAAUAUACAGCUAAAAUUUGAUAAAAAUCAAAGAUGUCUAAUCAAGAAAAAAACAAGGACAAAAAAAAUUAAUGGAAAGGGAACUCUCAAAAUAACCCUACUGAUACUGAAAAUAUUAAGGUAAUAUUGUAGUUGUAUGCCAAUGUAUGUGAUACCUUAUAUAACAUGGUCUAUAUUAGAGAAGGAUCUGUAUGCUGCUGAGAAGAAAGUAUUCAGUUACUCAUGGAUGAAAUAUUCUAUAUAUAUAUAUCUGUUAAGUCUGUUAUUGUCAAUUGAAUUUUUUUUUUUACUUCUAUGGCUUAUUUAGUUUUUGCUUGGAGGAUCUAUCUAUCCAGUGGUGAUAGAGGCAUGUUAAAAUUACCCAGUAUUAUUGUGUUGUAGUCUAUUUCAUUCUUGAACCUGAGAAGGGUUUGUUUGAUGUACAUACAUGCUCUAUGGUUUGGGGCAUACAUAUUUAUGAUUAUUAUGUUUUGUUGAUGUAUAAUUCUCUUAAGUAAUAUGAAAUGUCCUUCUUUGUUCCUUCUGAUUAACUUUGGCUUGAAGUCUACUUUAUCUAAUAUGAAGAUGAGAACGCCUGCUUGUUUAUGUGAUCCAUAUGAAUGAUAUGGUUUUUGUCCCAUCAUUUAACCUUCAGUCUGUGGGUGUCUUUGUCUAUGAGGUGAAUCUCUUGGAGACAGCAUAUUGUUGGGUCUUGUUUUUUAAUCCAAUCUGUCAGUCUACGUCUUUUGAUUGAUGAGUUUAGGCUAUUAUAUUCAAGGUUAUUAUUGAGAUAUGAUUUGUGUUUAUGGUCAUUUUGGCUCAUUUCUAGUUUUAAUUUGAAUUAAUUUCUCCUUCUUUUAGUGUAGUUCCUCCUUCACUGGUUUUCACUUUUUUUUGGCAUAUUUUGUUGAGAAUAUUCUCAAAUGCAGGCUUUCUGGGUGCAAAUUCUUUUGUUUAUCAUGGAAGGUUUUUAUUUCAUCUUCAAAUCUGAAGCUUAAUUUUGCUGGAUAUAGGAUUCUUGGUUGGCGUCCAUUUUCUUUCAUGUUAUUCUAGGACCCUCCAGCUUUGAGGGUCUGGGUUGAGAAAUUAGCUGAGAUUCAUAUUGGUUUCCCCCAUAUGUAAUCUGAUAUUUUUCUCUUAUAGCCUUUAAAAUUCUAUGCUUAUUCUUUGUGUAAGGCAUUUUCAUUAUAAUGUGCCUUGAUGUAGGUCUGUUGUAAUUUUGCACAUCUGGGGUUCUGUAAGCCUCUUGUAUAUUAUUUUCCAUUUCAUUCUUUAGAUCUGGGAAAUUUUCUGAUAUUAUUUCAUUGAAAAGAUUGUGCAUUCCUGGCUGGGGUUGUGGCUCAGUGGUAGAGUGCUCGCCUAGUGUGUGUGAGGCCCUGAGUUCGAUCCUCCGCACCACAUUAAAAAAAUAAAUAGAUAAAGGUAUUAUGUCCAUCUACAACUAAAAAUUUUAAAAGAAGAAGAAGAAGAAAAAAGAUUGUGCGUUCCUUUUGUGCCUUCAUCUAUCCUAAUAAAUCUUAAAUUUGGUCUUUGUAUAUUAUCCCAUAAUUCUGGGAAGUUCUGUUCAUGGUUUGUGUUUAUUUAUUUAUUUAUUUAUUUUUAAAUUUUUAUUAUUGGUUGUUCAAAACAUUACAUAGUUCUUGACAUAUCAUAUUUCAUACAUUUGAUUCAAGUGGGUUAUGAACUCUCAUUUUUACCCCGUAUACAGAUUGUAGAAUCACAUUGGUUACACAUCCACUGUUUUACAUAUUGCCAUACUAGUGUCUGAUGUGUUCUGCUGCCUUUCCUAUCUUAACAUCAUCUUUCCUUCAUUUCAAGGAUUUCUUUUCUUUUUUUUUUUUUCCCAGAGACUGUAUCUCUUUACUGAAGUGAUCUUUUGCCAGCUUUAUUUGCUCUUUUCCAUCAUCCUUUACUUUGCAGAUCAGUGUAUUUACAUUCUAAACUCCUGACAUUUCUUUCACUUUGGUGUUGAUGAAUUAUGUUAUUGGAGUAUCUUGGUGUGCUUGGGGGUGACUUGUUCCCUUGCUUUUUCAUAUUAGUUGUGUGUCUACCCAUCUAACAGUAUGGAUCUGAGGCAGUAGAGUUUCUACCCUGUGUACUUACAAUCUCCCUGAAGGUUUUUAGUACCUCAAUGUUAGGGGGUGACAUAUAAUAAAAACAACCAAUGCAAACAAUUUACAGCAUUAAACCAAAUAAUUCUUACUAUGAUGUCUUCAAUAUUAAUUCUUACAAUAAACAAAUUAUAUGAUUAGUUAUUGCCUUUUAAUAAAAACAGCAAGUUUACAAAAGGGUUUAUAUUAGUAGACAGGAAGAAAACAGAAGGGAUAUAAUAUGUGAUGAUUAUGAGGGAGGAGGAGAGAAGACAGAAGUAAAAAAAGAUUUAAAGGAAGAGUGAAAGAGAACAAAAGAAAUUGGCUGUUAACAGACAAAAAGAAUCAAGGGAAAUAGCAGAAAUGUGUAUAUAUAUAUAUAUAUUAAUCUAUAUAUGUAUUAAUCUAUAUAUAUAUAUAAUGUUAAAAAGUUAAAAAUAAGAGAAUACAAACAAAACUAAAAUAUACUAAUCAAACUUGCUAGUUCAGAAAAAGCUCAUCUAUGUAAAAUAACUGGCUUCAAAAAUGCUAGAGAUGAGAAGAAAAAAAAUAGGAAACUGUAUAAAUGUCCAUGUACCAUUAAGGUCACAAUUAAACAGUGAAAAAGAACUAGGAAAAAAGAAAAAAAAAUCUUGAUGAAAGUUAAAGAAUUCUUUCCAUUGGAGAUCAAAAUAUCCUCAGCUUCUCAACAGUUUUAGGUGGGGUCUUCUGGAGUGUGAUGCUCCACUUUCUGUAUUUUUAGAGUGAGAGUGGUAAUCCUGUAGGUAGAGUUCCUAGAGGUGGAGUUUAGGUUUAGUCGGGUUCCAGGCUCUUUGCUGAUUGCUAAUUGGUCUGGAGAUUUUAAAUCAGUCUACCACCAGUGCCCAGUACUUGCUGGUCCAAGUUGGAAGACUUUACCUGAGGGAUCUCCCCUGGGUUCCAUUUGUGUGGUAGGGUAGCCAAUUCUUAGUCCCCUGUGUUACCUGCAGACUCCAUGUUUCCUGGUCUCUGGUUCAGUCUCCAAACAAUUUGUCCUGUCCCUGCCCUUCUGAGUUCCUGGCUAAAUGUGUUUAUUCCAGCCAGUCCCACUAGCUAUUAGAUUGGAGGGGGAAGGGUAGAGCUGGGUGGGUUUCCAGGACCAGUUGUCCCCUCUGUAAACUUCUCUCCAGGUUUGAUUUUCUUCUGGUUAAUCAAGCACACUCUGUGUUGUGCAGCAUGUGUUUACUGGGCCUGUAUUUGGUGCCAAACAGGUUUGCCAGGAAUCAGCUUCUUCAGGAAUCAGCCCUCCUCACUGCAGCUGCAAAAUGAUUCCUUUGUCCUCUGCACGCUGCUUGGAGAGAUGAUGGCUUUUUCCCCCACACAUAGAUAUCAUGCAGUGAGUCCUUCAGGUUUGUUGGGCAGUGUCCUUGUCUCUAAAUGCUGUAUACCCAGACAUGCUUCGGAUGUCCCCAAAAUAUGGUUUCCUUUAAUUACCUUAUCUCUCUUCUGUGCUCAUGGCGGGACUUCUCUGGCUGGAGCUUCCAGCCCGGUUGUGGCAGCAGCUGUGCUAUUGGGGAUUUUUUCCUUAAGUUUUUAUAUCCAAGCUCCUGUAUCCCCAGUCUGCUUUGAGUGUCCAGUUUUAGGUUCCAGAAAAAUACUGCCCCGUUUUUUGUUCACACGCCUUGCAGAGAAGCUGCCUGUCUGCUUUCUUAGUUUCAUGCCACGGAGCUGCCAAAAAUGUGAUUCCGCUGUCUUUAUCUCUUCCUGUUUGUCUUGAUUUAAGUGUUUUUCCAACUUUUUCUAGCAAAACUCCUUUCAAAUACACUAUAGUAAAAUAGCAGAUACAGAAAUGUGAAAAAUGCCCAAAAUAAUGGAGUAAAAUUCACUGUACUUAUGGUGAGUUAUGUGGGUACAGAAAUUGAACAUUGCCAGCACCCUAGAUCUCCUUUAUGUUCCUUUCUAAUCACAAUACUUGUCCUUCCAUAAGAGGACACCUUUUUGGGAACCAUUUGGUUUUACAGUUUUCUUUUGUAACCAUGCAAUGCAAGUAAAUGUUUUGAUUGUCUAUUUUGUAUUUAAUGUAAAUGGAAUCAGCAUGUGCAUUUCAUGUAUGGCUUUGGUUCAACAGUAUGCUUGUGAAGUUCAACAAAAUUGUUCCAUAUUGUAGUUGUUUAAUAUCUGUGAAAUAAUCCAUUGCUUAAAUAUAACUUUUAGAAUCUGAUGAUGAUGGAUAUUUGAACUGUUUAGCUAUGGCUGUUACUAAAAUUGCUUUUAUGAAUAGUCUCUUUUAUGAACUUCUAACAUGACAUACAAGAAUAUUCUUAACUCAUGAAAAUUGUAUAUACUUUUUGGUGUAUGUUAUGGACUGAAUUGUAUACUCCAAGAUGAUGUAAAAUUCCUAACUCCCAGUAUCUCAGAAUAUGGCUUUAUUUGGAAGUAUGAUUGUUGCAAAUCUUACAUGUUAAGAAGAGGUAAUGCUAGAGUUAUGGUAGGCUCCUAAUCUGAUAUUACUGUUGCCUUUAUGAAAAGAACGCCUUGUGAAGAGCCAAAAGGAGGUUGCCAUGAGUAGAUGGAAUAUUGGAAUUAUACAUCUACUAGCCAAGAAAUGCCUAAGAUUGCUUGCAAAUCACCAAAAGCUAAAAAAGCAAAGAAGGAUUCUCCUACAGGUUUCAGAAGAAGCCUGGCCCACUGACACCUUAAGUUUGAACUUCCUGCCUCCAAAACUUUGAGAUGACAAACUUGUUGUUUUUAAGGCAAUCACUCAGUUUGUUGUACUUUGUUAUGUUAUGGUAUGGAGCUGUUUAAGUCAACUUUUUCACUGCUGUGACUAAAAGACCUGACAAAAUCAACUUUAGAGGAGAAAAAAUUUAUUUGGGGACUCAAGGUUUCAGACGUCUCCAUUCCCUGGGCCUCCAGGUGAGGCAGAACUUCAUGACAGAAGAGUGUGGCAGAGGGAAGCAGCUCACAUGAUGAUCAGAAGCAGAGAAAGACUUUACUGGCCAGAUACAAAAUCUAUAUCCAAAAGGGAUCCACCUCUUCUAGCCACACACUGCCUACCUUCACUUAGUUAAUCCCAUGGGAGGAUUAAUUCACGAUUGGGUCAAGACUCUCAUAACCCACUCAUUUCUCCUCUAAACCUUGCAUUGUCUCACACAUGAGCUUUUGGGGGACACCUCACAUCCAAACCAUAACAAUAUCUGUAGGAAACAAAUGUAUUUUACAUGUGCUCAUUUUAUUUUUUUAUUGAAAUUGUAGGACCAUAAGCAUACAUUUAUUAAACUUUAGCUGAUGAUAUCAAAAUGUUUUUCAAAGUUUUAUACUAGUUUAUGCUUCAACUAGCAAAAGUAUAAGAGUUACAUAUAACCACAGCAAUGUUGACUAUACUGUCAGAGAAAAUUUAGUAAUCUCCAUGGGUGAUUUGUGGUUUCUUAUUGAGGUUGCAAUUUAUAUUUUCUGGUAAUUAUUGAUGUUGAGAAUCUUUUUAUAUGAUUUAUGUAAUAGCCAUUAGGAUAUCCAUUUUUGUGACAGGUGUUCAAGUCUUCUGCACAUUUUUUUUUUUUUCAGUUGCUUCAUCUUUUUUCUUUUAGAGCGCCAAAAGUUCUUUGUAUAUUUUGGGUAGACAUGUUCAAAUGUCUUUUCCUACUCUGGCUUGCCUUUUUUAUUAAUUGUGACCUAAAAGUGAACAGAAGUUCUUAAUUUUAAUGUAGUUCAGUUCAGCCAUCUUUUCCUUUAUUGUUAAUACUUUUGUUUUAUUUGAAUUUUUCUAUACUAAGUUUAUGAAGGUAAUCUUGUAUAUUAAGGAUUGUGGUCCUCUAUUUGCUUGGAAUUUACCUAUAGAUCAGUUUGGAGAACUGACAUUUGAAUAGUUUAAUCACAGAUGUGAUAUAUUUCUCAGUUGGUUUAGCGCUUAAUUUUUCUCAGGAAAACUUUGCAUUUUUAAAGUACAUCUCUUGUACACAUUUUGUGAAAUUUAUCCCUUUGCAUAAUUUAUUUUUAAUGCUAUUGUGAAAGGUGUUUAAAAUUAAUUUUGGUUUGUAUCUAGUACAUAGACAUACACUUGGUGUUUGUGUAAUGGGCCUAUAUCUUACUGACUUGCUAAAUUCAGUUAUUCUAAUUGCCUAGUUUGUACAUUCCUUAGGAUUUUCUACAUUUAUGAUCAUGAUAGUUUUGACUAAAAUGUUUUUCUUUUCAAUCUGUAUGUAUCUCUUAAAUUGUGGUAAAAUAUACAUAAUAAUUUACUAUCUUAACAAUUUUUUACAUUCAUGGGCAUUAAAUAGAAAUUGUUAUGCAACUAGUACCACCAUCCAUCUCCAAAACUUUUUAGUCAUUUCAAACUGAAGUGCUAUGGUCAUUAAACUCCCCUUUUCUCAUCUCCCCCCCCCCCCGCAUUCCUGCCAACCACCAAUCAAUUUUCUG
rnacentral:lncRNA from 1 species